CGAAAAGAACCCCGGCGAGGGGAGUGAAAAAGAACCUGAAACCGUGUACGUACAAGCAGUGGGAGCACAGGUUUACCUGUGUGACUGCGUACCUUUUGUAUAAUGGGUCAGCGACUUAUAUUCUGUAGCAAGGUUAACCGUAUAGGGGAGCCGGAGGGAAACCGAGUCUUAACCGGGCGUUAAGUUGCAGGGUAUAGACCCGAAACCCGGUGAUCUAGCCAUGGGCAGGUUGAAGGUUGGGUAACACUAACUGGAGGACCGAACCGACUAAUGUUGAAAAAUUAGCGGAUGACCUGUGGCUGGGGGUGAAAGGCCAAUCAAACCGGGAGAUAGCUGGUUCUCCCCGAAAGCUAUUUAGGUAGCGCCUCGUGAAUUCAUCUCCGGGGGUAGAGCACUGUUUCGGCUAGGGGGCCAUCCCGGCUUACCAACCCGAUGCAAACUGCGAAUACCGGAGAAUGUUAUCACGGGAGACACACGGCGGGUGCUAACGUCCGUCGUGAAGAGGGAAACAACCCAGACCGCCAGCUAAGGUCCCAAAGUCAUGGUUAAGUGGGAAACGAUGUGGGAAGGCCCAGACAGCCAGGAUGUUGGCUUAGAAGCAGCCAUCAUUUAAAGAAAGCGUAAUAGCUCACUGGUCGAGUCGGCCUGCGCGGAAGAUGUAACGGGGCUAAACCAU
rnacentral:rRNA from 1 species